CCUACGGGAGGCAGCAGUGGGGAAUCUUGGGCAAUGGGCGCAAGCCUGACCCAGCAACGCCGCGUGAAGGAAGAAGGCUUUCGGGUUGUAAACUUCUUUUGUCAGGGAAGAGUAGAAGACGGUACCUGACGAAUAAGCCACGGCUAACUACGUGCCAGCAGCCGCGGUAAUACGUAGGUGGCAAGCGUUGUCCGGAUUUACUGGGUGUAAAGGGCGUGUAGCCGGGUUGACAAGUCAGAUGUUAAAUCCUGCGGAUUAACCGAAAAACUGCAUUUGAAACUGUUGAUCUUGAGUACUGGAGAGGCAGAUGGAAUUCCGAGUGUAGCGGUGAAAUGCGUAGAUAUUAGGAGGAACACCAGUGGCGAAGGCGGUCUGCUGGACAGCAACUGACGGUGAGGCGCGAAAGCGUGGGGAGCAAACAGGAUUAGAUACCCUAGUAGUC
rnacentral:rRNA from 1 species